AUCUCUAAGACCGGAGUGGGCAGGGACCCGGGCCUCUGAGGGGCUCAGGCUCCAGGCCGGAAACUGCACGCGGUGCUGGCGUCAGGCCCGAGGCCCAGCUACGCCUCCCACGGCCUCCCUAAUCGCCAUUCGGGGCUUGCGGGAGCACCUGGGAGGCUCCACCCGGAGCCAGACACUGCCUGCCCCCACGCCCCUCCAGGACCCUCGAAGGAGAAGGAAAUCGGGACUGGCCCAGCGUCCCGUGCUCUAGAAGGCGGGCUACUGCCCCGUCCCAAGCAGGGGAGGAGGACGAGCGAGGGCGUCACUCAUUCUGUCCCCCGCGGAAGGUGGGCUAGCCGCGGAGGGGGGCGCGCAGGGGAGGGGGGCGCGCCGAGGGGAGGGGAGGGGAGGGGUCCACCCCGCCCUUAGGGCCUCCAGCCAUCGCCCGAGAUCAGAGCUCAGGAAUGCGCAGCCAGACCCUGGAGGGUGAGGAAACACCCCUCCGGGAUUCCUCGCAGCGCACCCGACUCUCCGGGCCACACCCAGCCCCUCAGUGUCCUCCCUCGUCCACUCCAGACGCCACACCCAUCGCUCACGCUGAGAAUCGGGCCCCGGAACCCCAGCUUCGGCUCUCGGCACCCAGAGGUGCGGGACGCAGCCCUGUCUUCUCCUCCUUUCCCAGCUCCUUCUGCACUUCGGAAGCACGGGGCUGGAUCUUAACACCCCCCUCCCUCGGCCUUUCAGGAGCCCAAAGUUCCGAUUCUGUCUGUCCCCUGGAUGGGGAGGGGUCAGUAAUUCUGAAUUCCUUCCAUUCUCAUUCCCAAACCCAGGACACCUAACCCUAAGCGCUUCCCCUCCUAAAGGACCUCCACGUACCAGAUUCCAGCCUCCAACUAGGGCACCUACGAGUCCCCAUCUCUCUACUCCCGCAGACCCAGCCCCUCCUCCCUCAGACUCAGGAGUCCAGGCCCAGCUCCUCCUCCCUCAGACCCAGGAGUCCAGGCCCUCAGCCCCUCCUCCCUCGGACCCAGGAGUCCAGACCCCCCAGCCCCUCCUGCCUCGGACCCGGGAGUCCAGACCCCCAGCCCCUCCUCCCUCAGACCCCGGAGUCCAGGUCCCCUUCCCCACUCUUCCAGACGUAUGACCUCCACAGUCCAGGUCCUCAGCCCUCUCCUCUGCAGAACCCCAAGAAUCCUGGCCCAGCCCCAGUCUUUCUAGGGACCCAGACAUUCUGAGACCCAGCCCAUUCCUCUCUCUGGCCAUAAAGACCCUAGACUGUUGCUUAUGCCCUCUGGGGUCCCCACAACCUCACCUCAGGCAGCCAGUGGCGACUGCGGCUGAAGCAAAGACGACAGCGGCAGCUGGAAGGGUCUGAGGGCUGGGUGGGGUUGGAGGGCUGGGGAGCCAGCGCGGGCGGGACGGGGGCGGGGCCGGGGCGGGGCGCAGCUCCGGCUAGGGCGGUGGACAGGGACUUCCCCGAGUCUGGGCUAUCCCAGCCCCGCCCCGAGGCGGGGCCAAGAGCAGACCACGCCCCCCAGAGUAAAAGUAGCGUGGAGCUCCCGCCCCACCCCAGUGAGCAGGGUGGAGGGCUGAGGUCACGGUUGCCGUGGUGACAAAACAGGAAGACACAACAGCUGGCGGCGUGGAGACUCCUGGGGGCUGCCCUCCUCGACACAGCCCUAGAGGAGUCUCCCGGGUAGGCCAGGGAAGACCGUUACCAUAGAAACCCCGCAUGUUUAGGGUUUGUUUAGUGCAGAGCCCCCCAGCUCAGGUCCCCGCCCCCGUCUCACCUCACUCCUUUCUUCCGCUCCCUUCCUACCCCCUCCUUCCUGGUCUGUUCCGCCCCCACCCCUUCCUUGCCGGAUGAAACCUUAGACACCUGGGUCGCAGCGGAUUGGGGGACCAGGCCCCUCAGUUCAAUGGGGGGGCUAGGAUCUCUGUCUCUUGGAGCCCUGAGGGAGAGCAGAAUUGAGAGCAGUAUUCCUGGGCUUUAGGUGGUUCUGGGCUACGAUCCCUGACUGAUGGGUCUCCCCAAGAAACAGAGGCUAGAUUCCUGUAUUUAAGGACUUGAAGGGGCGGCAAAAUGCUCCCCUAGUACCCACUGGCACCGGGCGCCGCAGGGUAAGGGACUCGGGCUGGACGCAGGUCUCAGAUAUCACAGUGGAUAGGGGUGGGGUGUGUUGGGGGCAAAAUUCCUGGGAGCUAGCGCGGUAGCAGUUGGGGGCCCGGAUUCCUGGGCUCCACAGGAUGCCUAGGCUGAGGCCCAGAUUCUUGGCUCAAAAGAACAAUCAGGCCUGGGCGCGGUGGCUCACGCCUGUAAUCCCAGCAUUUCGGGAGGCUGAGGAGGGAGGAUCCCUUGAGCCCAGGAGUUCGAGACCAGCCUGGGCAACAUAAGGAGACUCUGCUCUAUUAAAAAUAAAUCAUCAUGAUCAUCAUAAUAGAACCAUUAAAGCUCAGACUCGGGUUUUCCGAGCAGGUGUUGCAAGCCUAGCCGCCUGGGUCUGGAAGGCAGCGAUAUUUUUGGCCUACAUUCCUGACUCCUGGAUGGAGGGAGGGACUCAGAAUUUUAAUGAGGAUGGGGCUGGGGCUGGGGCUUGGGGCUCUGGAUUCACGGAUCCUGCAAGAGGGGAAGGGAUCCAAGGGGCUGGUGGGCCCGAAGCCCCAGGGCAGGGAAGGGAUGCAGGGUGUGUUUUUAAAAGGCGGCUCUGCGGCCCUAAAACGGACUGCCGGAGCCAAAAGAAAAAGAGGGAGCUGAGGGUCGGGAUGUCGGGCCCCCGGGGAGGGGCAGGGCGGGGACCUGGGACGCCUGAGUCCCUCCCUCUGGCCGCGUUCACUCACCGCGCUCUGCAGUCGUCCCGGGCGCGGCCUGGCUGGCUGCGGCCGCUGGGCGGGGCCUGGUGGCGGCUGCGGAUGCUCAGCGACGCUGAGCUAACGGGGCGCGUCUGGCGCUGCCGCCGCUGGGCACCUUCCAGGGCCGACAACUGAGGAGGCUUUGAGGCCAAGCCCAGGGGUGGAGGCCGAGUCCAGGAGUGGAAGCCGCGCGAGUGGCGAAGGGAGCAGUCGGAAGGGGUCCGGGAGCUGGGGAUCCGGGUCUACGUGCCCUACGGAGCAGGGAGGGGCCGGAGGGGGACCUGCAGGAAGGCGGGGGUCUGCAGGAGUGGAGAGGGGGUUGGGUAGAGGAAGGUAGAGCCUGUGUGCGGGCUUGAUGUGCUUCUGCAAAGGGAAGGGGACACAGACCCUCUUUGUCACUCUGGGCCCUGCAUAGGGGAGGGAGGUCUCAGUGCACCCAGAUCAGGCCUUGUCCUUGUCCAAGGAGGGAGGGCUGUGGACAGAUAGGGAGUCGGGACAUGGUGUUAGUUGGAGACUCCCCUGGGACGCCUCUAGGUUCUAUUCACAGGCCUCCUUGGCCCCAAGUGUAGCAGCAAAUCUUUCCCCUUCCUGCCUAAAUUAGUCACUGCCUAACCCCAUAGUGACACACUCAAGGUACCCCAAACGGCCCAGAGGUGGUCUCCACUUACACAACUUACUGUGUUAUUCCUCGUGGUGGCAGCGGUUCCCUUGUAGACACUAGAACCCCUCAACAGCAGGGUUCAGGGUAGCAGGAACAGGAAGCAAACAUUUGAAGAGUGAAGGCCGGUCACGGUGGCUCACCUCUGUAAUCCUAGCACUUUGGGAGGCCAAGGCAGGCAGAUCACCUGAGGUCGGGAAUUCAAGACCAGCGUGGCCAACAUGAUGAAACCCCGUCUCUAUUAAAAAUACAAAAAAAUUAAUCAGGCGUUGUGGCGCCGCCUGUAAUCCCAGCUACUCCAGAGGCUGAGGCAGGAGAAUGGCUUGAACCCGGGAGGUGGAGGUUGCAGUGAGCCAAGAUUGCCACUGCACUCCAGCCUGGGUGACUGAGCGAAACUCUGUCUCAAAACAAAAAAUAACAACAAAACAAAUAAAAAUUUGAAGAGUGAGUCAUCGGGUGUGGUCCUAAGAAAUGGCACUCUUGGCCGAUGCAGCAACUCAUGUCUGUAAUUCCAGCACUUUGGGAGGGAGGCCGAGGUGGGUGGAUCACCUGAGGUCAGGAGUUCGAGAUCAGCCUGGCCAACAUGGUGAAACCCCGUCUCUACUAAAAAUACAAAAAAUUAGCCGGGCGGGGUGGCAUGUGCCUGUAAUCCCAGCUACUUGGGAGGCUGAGGCAGGAGAAUCGCUUGAACCCAGGAGGCAGAGGUUGCAGUGAGCUGAGAUCAUGCCAUUGCACUUCAGCCUGGGUAACAAGAGCAAAACUCCGUCUCAAAAAAAAAAGAGAGAGAAAAAUAAAAGAAAGAAAUGGCACUCUUGAGUUCACAGGUCUUUGUAAUCUGGGAUCAUCUGGCAUGUACCCCUGGUUCAGAGUGGUUACCCAUCCUGUAACAGCACCCCGACCCCAAAGAUGAUGACUCCAAACUGGCCCUGUAACCCAGUCUCAAACAGGCCGUGCUGUUCCAUGAGGCUGGCUGCUUUGGGGUAAUGGGGUACAUGGACUGCCCCCCACUGACUUCCUAAUAUAUGGAGCUCCUUGAUCAGAAGCAAUACUGUGCGGGUUAACAUGAGGGUGAAUAGGGCCAUUCAGUGCAUACACAGAUGCUGCUGUUGGCAGAAGUGCAAAGGGCAAGAAAAGCAAAUAACAAGCCCAGAGUUGUUUACUCGAGGGAGGAAAAACUCCCUGCCCAGCCCAGGAUGAAAGGGCUCCAGUGUAAUCCUCACGGGCCCAGGUAUUUGGCUUUUUGGUCUUCCUAGGAAACUGUACCACACUGGGGGAUCAGCACUUGCUACUGCCAGCUAGGUGGGCAUUCAUCAGUGACGUAGGUGGUGUAGUCCACCUCGGCCACUUUGCUCCUGAACCUAUGGAGCAAGCCCUGAGGAUGCCAGGGAAGGAGGCUGAUCCAGAUCCUCAGAGUGGUCAUCUGAUCUACCACAUGGCAUCAUAGCAUUCCCUGUAAUAGAGGUUUUAGGGGGAGAGUUCACUUGGGAUAAAGAUUACGAAGUGGUUUCCACUCGCAACACGUCUGACACCAAUGUGUGUGUUUUUUCUUUUCUUUUUUUUGAGACGGAGUCUCGCUCUUGUCAUCCAGGCUGGAGUGCAAAGAGGUGGUCUUGGCUCAUUGCAACUUCUGCCUCCCAGGUUCAAGCGAUUCUCCUGCCUCAGUCUCCCCAGUAGCUGGGAUUACAGGCACCCACCACCACACGCAGCUAAAUUUUUUUGUAUUUUUAGUAGAGGCGGGGUUUUCACCAUGUUGGUCAGGCUGGUCUCAAACUCCCCACCUCAGGUGACCCACCUGCCUCGGCCUCCCAAAGUGCUGGGAUUACAGGCAUGAGCCACCGCGUCCAGCCACCUGGCUACAUUUCUAGGACUGUCCUCUAAAAACAAAUAAGUUGUUUUUUUCAUCUCAGGUCAAUUCUUUUCUUUUUAUUUAUUUAUUUAUGUUUUAAGAUGGAGUCUCACUCUGUCACCCAGGCUGGGGUGCAGUGGUGCGAUCUCUGCUCACUGCAACCUCUGCCUCCUGGGUUCAAGCAAUUCUCCUGCCUCAGCCUCCCGAAUAGCUGGGACUACAGGCAUGGGCCACCACGUCCGGCUAAUUUUGUAUUUUUAGUAGAGAUGGGGUUUCACUCUGUUAGCCAGGCUGGUCUCAAACUCCUGACCUCAGGUGAUCCACCUGCCUCGGCCUCCCAAAGUGCUGGGAUUACAGGCGUGAGCCACCGUGCCCAGCCGUCAAUUCUUUUCCUCUUUUUCAUCUCUAAAGACAUUCUUCUCAUAACCUUACUAUUGCUGUUACAAUUCUUCUCUUUUUGAUAGUCAAUGUUCCUACUCAAAGAAUAUUUCGUUGGAUUUAAAAUACACACACACACAUAUCAUAUAUAUGCAUAUAUAUGUGUGCAUUUAUUAUCUCACAGUUUCUAUGGAGCUUAGCACAGUUUAGCCAGGUUCUCUGUGAGGCUGUAAUCAAGGUAUUGGCCAGGACUGAGUUUUGGGUUUGUUUGUUUGUUUGUUUGUUUUUGUGUUUUUUGUUUGUUGGUUUGUUUGUUUUUGAGAUGGAGUCUCACCUUGUCGCCCAGGUUGGAGUGCAGUAGCACGAUUUCGGCUCGCUGCAACCUCUGCCUCACAGGUUCAAGCGAUUCUCCUGCCUCAGUCUCCUGAGUAGCUGGGAUUACAGGUACAUGCCAUCACCCCGGCUAAUUUUCAUAUGUUUAGUAGAGACAGGGUUUCACCACAUUGGCCAGGCUGGUCUUGAACUCCUGACCUCAAGUGAUCUGCCCACCUUGGCUUCCCAAAGUGCUGGGAUUACAGGCGUGAGCCACCACGCCCGGCCCGGCACUGAGUUUUGAUCUGAAGGCUCCGCUGGGAAAGGACGUGCUUCUAAAUUCACUCAGCUUGCUGCAGAAUUUGUUUCCUUGUGACUUUAGAACUCAUCAGGGGCUGGGCACGGUGGCUCACACCUGUAACCCCAGCACUUUGGAAGGCUAAGGAGGGCAGAUUGUUUUGAGCUCAGGAGACCAGCCUGGGCAACAUAGCAAAACCACAUCUCUAUAAAAAUACAAAAAUUAGCCAGGUAUUGGUGGUACCUGCAGUCCCAGCUACUGGGGAGACUGAGGCUGGAGAAUCACUUGAGCCUGGGAAGCAGAGGUUGGAGUGAGCCGAGAUCACGCCACUGCACUCCAGCCCCUGGAUGACAGAGUAAAACCCUGUCUCAAAAAAAAAAAAAAAAAAGAACUCAGCCGGGCACAGUGGCUCACGCCUGUAAUCCCAGUACUUUGGGAGGCUGAGACAGGCACAUCACGAGGUCAGGAGAUCGAGACCAUCCUGACUAACACGGUGAAACCCCGUCUCUACUAAAAAUACAAAAAAUUAGCCGGGCGUGGUGGUGGGCACCUGUAGUCCCAGCUACUUGGGAGGCUGAGGCAGAAGAAUGGCGUGAACCUGGGAGACGGAGCUUGCAGUGAGCCAAGAUCGCACCACUGCACUCCAGGCUGGGAGACAGAGCGAGACUCCAUCUCAAAAAAAAACAAAAAAACAAACAAAAAACCCUCAUCAACUCAUCAGUGCAUGCUCCUUCAAAGUCAGUGAUGAGAGACUCUAGGGUGUGUCAGCUAGCAAGAAAUCUUCUACAACAUAUAAGCACCACCUUUGCCAUGCCGUAUUGGUUAGAAGAAAGUAACACGUUCCUCCCACACUCAAGGGAUGGGGAUGAUACAAGUGUAGAAGAUUUCUUUUUAGGAGGAAGAAAAUUUUCUGGACACACAAAGUAGUGAUUGGCCAGGUGCAGUGGUUCACGCCUGUUAUCCCAGUACUUUGCGAGGUUGAGGCAGGCGGAUCACUUGAGGCCAGGAGUUCAAGACCAGCCUGGCCAACAUGGUGAAACCCUGUCUCUACUAAAAAUACAAAAAUUAGCCAGGUAUGGUGGUGCAUGCCUGUAAUCCCAGCUACUCAGGAGGAUGAGGCAGAAGAAUUACUUGAACCUGGGAGUCAGAGUUUGCAGUGACCUGAGAUCACACCACUGCAUUCCAGCCUGGGCGACAGAGUGACUGAGACUCUCUCUCAAAAAACAAACAAACAAACAAAAAAUAAUAACCACCUAGCAGCAAAGCCUGUGAAUGCAUUUCUGCUUCCUUUUUUUUUUUUUUUUUGAAACAGGGUCUCGCUCUGCCGCCCAGGCUGGAGUAGUGCAGUGGCGUGAUCUCGGCUCACUGCAGCCUCGACGUCCAGAGCUCAAGCAAUCCUCCUGCCUCAGC
rnacentral:lncRNA from 1 species